rnacentral:lncRNA from 1 species
UGCCAGAGCUUGUGCCACAUUCUGCAAGUUCAUUUUUUCGGCCAGUGCCUCCUGUGCCAAUUCGACUCGAGGAGGAUCAGAUUGAGGAUAUUGUGCAGCGGGUUAUUGCUCAGAUGAGGAACGUUGUUUGAGAGGUGUUUAUUGAGUAGCGUUCUUCCAUGUCUAUGGAUUCAUCCUUCUCACCCCUCUUGACCCGCACCUUAGACUAGGCUGCAUGCAGUUUCAUCUUUUUUAAGCUUAAGCCCUUUUUAUUGCUUGUUGUUUAAGCUCCUUUUGGAUCUAUAAUGUAUGCCUCCUUUUUCUUCGGACUCCAGAUCAAGAAAUCAAAUGAGGAGAUCUUCAUCAACUAAAGCAAGUUCAUCAAGAAAAUGUUAAGAAAAUUUAGGAUGGAGAAUGUC